AACGAACGCUGGCGGCUUGCCUAACACAUGCAAGUCGAACGAGACCUUCGGGUCUAGUGGCGCACGGGUGCGUAACGCGUGGGAACCUGCCCUUAGGUUCGGAAUAACUCCCCGAAAGGGGUGCUAAUACCGGAUAAUGUCUUCGGACCAAAGAUUUAUCGCCUUUGGAUGGGCCCGCGUUGGAUUAGCUAGUUGGUAGGGUAAAAGCCUACCAAGGCGACGAUCCAUAGCUGGUCUGAGAGGAUGAUCAGCCACACUGGGACUGAGACACGGCCCAGACUCCUACGGGAGGCAGCAGUGGGGAAUAUUGGACAAUGGGCGAAAGCCUGAUCCAGCAAUGCCGCGUGAGUGAUGAAGGCCUUAGGGUUGUAAAGCUCUUUUACCCGGGAUGAUAAUGAUAGUACCGGGAGAAUAAGCUCCGGCUAACUCCGUG
rnacentral:rRNA from 1 species